rnacentral:rRNA from 1 species
AGUGAACGCUGGCGGUAGGCCUAACACAUGCAAGUCGAACGGCAGCACAGGAGAGCUUGCUCUCUGGGUGGCGAGUGGCGGACGGGUGAGGAAUACAUCGGAAUCUACUUUUUCGUGGGGGAUAACGUAGGGAAACUUACGCUAAUACCGCAUACGACCUACGGGUGAAAGCAGGGGAUCUUCGGACCUUGCGCGAUUGAAUGAGCCGAUGUCGGAUUAGCUAGUUGGCGGGGUAAAGGCCCACCAAGGCGACGAUCCGUAGCUGGUCUGAGGGGAUGCACGGCCACAGUGGAACGGAGACGCGCUCGAGACUCUUGCGGGGUGAGGCGGUGGGGAAUUUUGGACAGGGGGCGAAAGCCGGAUCAAGCCUUCCCGUGUGGGUGAAGAAGGCCUUCGGGUUGUAAAGCCCUUUUGUGGGAAAAAAAAGCCAGCGUGCUAAUCCCCGUUGGGGAUGACGUUACCAAAAGAAAAAGCACCGGCUAACUUGGUGCCAGCAGCCGCCGUAA